rnacentral:rRNA from 1 species
GGGUUGUGAGGUUAAGCGACUAAGCGUACACGGUGGAUGCCCUGGCAGUCAGAGGCGAUGAAGGGCGUGCUAAUCUGCGAUAAGCGCCGGUAAGGUGAUAUGAACCGUUAUAACCGGCGAUACCCGAAUGGGGAAACCCAGUGUGAUUCGUCACACUAUCAUUAACUGAAUCCAUAGGUUAAUGAGGCGAACCGGGGGAACUGAAACAUCUAAGUACCCCGAGGAAAAGAAAUCAACCGAGAUUCCCCCAGUAGCGGCGAGCGAACGGGGAGGAGCCCAGAGCCUGAAUCAGCAUGUGUGUUAGUGGAAGCGUCUGGAAAGGCGCGCGAUACAGGGUGACAGCCCCGUACACAAAAGCGCAUGUGCUGUGAGCUCGAUGAGUAGGGCGGGACACGUGGUAUCCUGUCUGAAUAUGGGGGGACCAUCCUCCAAGGCUAAAUACUCCUGACUGACCGAUAGUGAACCAGUACCGUGAGGGAAAGGCGAAAAGAACCCCGGCGAGGGGAGUGAAAAAGAACCUGAAACCGUGUACGUACAAGCAGUGGGAGCACAGGUUUACCUGUGUGACUGCGUACCUUUUGUAUAAUGGGUCAGCGACUUAUAUUCUGUAGCAAGGUUAACCGUAUAGGGGAGCCGUAGGGAAACCGAGUCUUAACCGGGCGUUAAGUUGCAGGGUAUAGACCCGAAACCCGGUGAUCUAGCCAUGGGCAGGUUGAAGGUUGGGUAACACUAACUGGAGGACCGAACCGACUAAUGUUGAAAAAUUAGCGGAUGACCUGUGGCUGGGGGUGAAAGGCCAAUCAAACCGGGAGAUAGCUGGUUCUCCCCGAAAGCUAUUUAGGUAGCGCCUCGUGAAUUCAUCUCCGGGGGUAGAGCACUGUUUCGGCUAGGGGGCCAUCCCGGCUUACCAACCCGAUGCAAACUGCGAAUACCGGAGAAUGUUAUCACGGGAGACACACGGCGGGUGCUAACGUCCGUCGUGAAGAGGGAAACAACCCAGACCGCCAGCUAAGGUCCCAAAGUCAUGGUUAAGUGGGAAACGAUGUGGGAAGGCCCAGACAGCCAGGAUGUUGGCUUAGAAGCAGCCAUCAUUUAAAGAAAGCGUAAUAGCUCACUGGUCGAGUCGGCCUGCGCGGAAGAUGUAACGGGGCUAAACCAUGCACCGAAGCUGCGGCAGCGAACGUAUCACUUAAAGCGAUUCAGCGGGUUACGAUUGACGGAGCGAAGCGACGUCAAAGCGUAUACAAAGUCGAGUCGGUUUAAGGAUACGUUCGUUGGGUAGGGGAGCGUUCUGUAAGCCUGUGAAGGUGGCCUGUGAGGGUUGCUGGAGGUAUCAGAAGUGCGAAUGCUGACAUAAGUAACGAUAAAGCGGGUGAAAAGCCCGCUCGCCGGAAGACCAAGGGUUCCUGUCCAACGUUAAUCGGGGCAGGGUGAGUCGACCCCUAAGGCGAGGCCGAAAGGCGUAGUCGAUGGGAAACGGGUUAAUAUUCCCGUACUUGGUGUUACUGCGAAGGGGGGACGGAGAAGGCUAUGUUGGCCGGGCGACGGUUGUCCCGGUUUAAGCGUGUAGGCUGGUUUUCCAGGCAAAUCCGGAAAAUCAAGGCUGAGGCGUGACGACGAGGCACUACGGUGCUGAAGCAACAAAUGCCCUGCUUCCAGGAAAAGCCUCUAAGCAUCAGGUAACAUCAAAUCGUACCCCAAACCGACACAGGUGGUCAGGUAGAGAAUACCAAGGCGCUUGAGAGAACUCGGGUGAAGGAACUAGGCAAAAUGGUGCCGUAACUUCGGGAGAAGGCACGCUGACACGUAGGUGAAGUGAUUUACUCACGGAGCUGAAGUCAGUCGAAGAUACCAGCUGGCUGCAACUGUUUAUUAAAAACACAGCACUGUGCAAACACGAAAGUGGACGUAUACGGUGUGACGCCUGCCCGGUGCCGGAAGGUUAAUUGAUGGGGUCAGCGCAAGCGAAGCUCCUGAUCGAAGCCCCGGUAAACGGCGGCCGUAACUAUAACGGUCCUAAGGUAGCGAAAUUCCUUGUCGGGUAAGUUCCGACCUGCACGAAUGGCGUAAUGAUGGCCAGGCUGUCUCCACCCGAGACUCAGUGAAAUUGAACUCGCUGUGAAGAUGCAGUGUACCCGCGGCAAGACGGAAAGACCCCGUGAACCUUUACUAUAGCUUGACACUGAACAUUGAGCCUUGAUGUGUAGGAUAGGUGGGAGGCUUUGAAGUGUGGACGCCAGUCUGCAUGGAGCCGACCUUGAAAUACCACCCUUUAAUGUUUGAUGUUCUAACGUGGACCCGUGAUCCGGGUUGCGGACAGUGUCUGGUGGGUAGUUUGACUGGGGCGGUCUCCUCCUAAAGAGUAACGGAGGAGCACGAAGGUUGGCUAAUCCUGGUCGGACAUCAGGAGGUUAGUGCAAUGGCAUAAGCCAGCUUGACUGCGAGCGUGACGGCGCGAGCAGGUGCGAAAGCAGGUCAUAGUGAUCCGGUGGUUCUGAAUGGAAGGGCCAUCGCUCAACGGAUAAAAGGUACUCCGGGGAUAACAGGCUGAUACCGCCCAAGAGUUCAUAUCGACGGCGGUGUUUGGCACCUCGAUGUCGGCUCAUCACAUCCUGGGGCUGAAGUAGGUCCCAAGGGUAUGGCUGUUCGCCAUUUAAAGUGGUACGCGAGCUGGGUUUAGAACGUCGUGAGACAGUUCGGUCCCUAUCUGCCGUGGGCGCUGGAGAACUGAGGGGGGCUGCUCCUAGUACGAGAGGACCGGAGUGGACGCAUCACUGGUGUUCGGGUUGUCAUGCCAAUGGCACUGCCCGGUAGCUAAAUGCGGAAGAGAUAAGUGCUGAAAGCAUCUAAGCACGAAACUUGCCCCGAGAUGAGUUCUCCCUGAGACUUAGAGUCUCCUGAAGGAACGUUGAAGACGACGACGUUGAUAGGCCGGGUGUGUAAGCGCAGCGAUGCGUUGAGCUAACCGGUACUAAUGAACCGUGAGGCUUAACCUUACAACGCCGAAG